GCGGCUGCCGACGGCCGGCUCCCGGCGAAGGGGAAGUGCUGCGGCCCCGCGGAGGGGUGAGUCCGUGCGGCCGGCGCGUCAGAAGGCCACGAUGGCCGUGCUCCAGGGGUUGAGGGUCCGCAGCACCGGCUCGUCGCAGCAGAUCUGCCCCGGCUCGCCCGCCGCCUCGGCGGGGGUGGCCGCUGCCGCCUCGCCGCCGUCAAGGGGCGGCCGCCGGCGGCCCUUGGGCUCCUUGCUGAGCAGUCCCGAGAAGCUGGAGCCGAAGAUGCUGAUGAGGCUGGCCACGUUGCCCGUCUCCAUGUCCUCCUGCUCGCCCUGCGGCGGUGGGGGCGGCGGGGGCGGCUCCUCCGCCUCCCUCCGGGGCUUCUUCACCGGCGAGCCCGCCUGGCCCCUCUCCGCCGCGCUCCUCUUCCGCGGGCAGUGCGGAGGCGGCGGGGCCGCGGCGGCGCUGGCGGCGGCACAGUCCGGCCGGGCGGCCUCGCGGUUGACCUCGCCGCCCGCCGAGGCGCAGCAGCAGCAGCAGCCGCAGCAACAGCGCCGCGGCCGGGGGCCCUGGCAGGCCGCGCCGGGCAGCCUCGNGCCGGCCUCGGGUCGCCCCGGCCAUCUGGCGCGCAGCGUGGCCUCGCCGACCUGCUGCGGUGGCGGCGGGGCUGCGGAUGUGGUUACCGAGAUCCUGUUUCCACAGCGGCGCCGGCCCUCCAGCAGCCAGCCCCGCGGCUUGUCACCAAAUGUGCGCCGGGCCCCGGGGAGCCAGCUGCAGCCAAGAGAUGGAAAACCCUCACGGCGGGACCGCCAGGGAAAGCCGGGUCUCCUCCUCGAGGCACGGGAUGAGGCUGCUCAUCGCUUCUCUGGACUGUCCCAGCACUAUUUCAUCGCAUCGUCCCCCUUCGCUUUGGUUCAGGACGGGAUUCACGAGCUAGGCUCUUGCUGGGAUGAGGACGGGAACGGGACGCCCAGACGUCUCCCACCAGCAGUGGGGCUGGGACAAAAGCCUUCACGCAGAGAGCUUCCUCAAGUGAAAACAGAGUUUCAGGGCGACUAA
rnacentral:lncRNA from 1 species